UGUCCUCCCUCGGGAACGCAGCCGUCUCCCCGUACGGCACGGCGUUCCCCCCCUCGCUUUCCCUUCGUCCUCUCUGCGCAGCCGCGACGCCGUGCGGUAUUGCGCCUCCUUUACUUCUGUCGCCCGUCAGCCCUAUCCCGUCCGACUUUCCAUACAAUCGGGGUGGUGGCGUUGUGCUGUUGGUGGUGUGGGCUGCGUCUUUUCCUCCGCCGCACGUGUUCGGCUGUACAGUCCGGCGUGGCUCCUCCCUGUGGUUUGUGGUCAGCAGGCAUUAAUUAGCAUUAAUGCAAGGUAUAUAUCACAGCUUUUUUUUUUCCCCCUAUCUUGUUGUCCUCCGUGAUCGCAGCCCGCCUCCCGUAGGGCAUGGCGCUUGCGUGCUCUCUGUGUCUCUCUCUCCCUCCUGUGUGUGGUUUCCUGUGGGGCUUCCAUGUGGCUGCUCAUCUUUGUUCCUCUGUGCUCUCUCUCCCUGAUUUCUCCUCUCUUACUGUGAUCUGCUUCCUUUUCCUCUCUCUGGUUAUUAUAAAUACUAAAAGGGCUGGUUGUCUGCACAUUUCUAAUUCCCCCUGAUUUUGAACCCCCUGUUUUUUGAACGCUGUUGCUCUGUCGUUCUUGCCCUGUGGUGCUUUUGAGCGUUGCAGCUGAUCGAUAGGUAAAAACAAGCAUUCGGAUGCUUCGUGAUUUCCUUCCCCCCUCUUUUUUUUUGCCCUCCUAUAGUUACUCUUUUACGUUUUCUCCUGCAUGUUGGUGUGUUUGAUUUUGUGCGGGUUUGCACGUCUGUGGCUCUUAAGUCAUGGCAGCCGUAGUUGUGCAAAUUUGUUUCCGAGAUUUCUUGUGCAUUGUCUGCUAGCGAUUCUCUGUGGCAGCGCCUGUGUACGAAAUUCCGAUUGAAAAUGAGGGGUUGCUUAGCAUCUACGUUGAAGUCGAGGUCCCUAAAGGAGAGACUGUUAUGGAGGCAAUCCAUUGCUGGGGCAUUCCUCGCUCUACUGUCGAUGAGACAGAGGAGAAUGCCGCAUGUCGCUCCGUUGCGAGAUUAAGGCUGCUGAUAAUGAAGUAUGCGGAGCAUCUUGGUUUUCAUUUUACUGAAUAAAUGGUUCUUUUUCUUCUACAAAUUCAGAUCGUCUGCCCAAAUUUGUUCACGAGAUUUUAAGGAAAAUCUUCUUCCGAUUAAGCCUUGAGAAAUGCGUGCCUCACGAAAUGCUCAGUUUCUCAAAUCUUUUUUUUUCCCUAAGCAUAGUUGACUUUAUAUGAGUAGUAUGUGCUUUAAUUAUUCAUAAAUUCUAUCUGAAAAAAUUAGAUGACAAGGUAGCUGGAUGACUGUCUAUCAACCGCUGUAGGCCUUAAUCUUUUGUUAGGAUUUGGUUGGAAAAGAUGGAGGUAUAUGAGUUCUAUAGCCUACCAAGUAUUAAUCCGUUUUUCUAGCUGUUUAAUUCUAUUGUUUAUUGUUUUGCUAA